UACGAAGGGGGCUAGCGUUGCUCGGAAUCACUGGGCGUAAAGCGCACGUAGGCGGAUUGUUAAGUCAGGGGUGAAAUCCUGGAGCUCAACUCCAGAACUGCCUUUGAUACUGGCGAUCUUGAGUCCGGGAGAGGUGAGUGGAACUGCGAGUGUAGAGGUGAAAUUCGUAGAUAUUCGCAAGAACACCAGUGGCGGAGGCGGCUCACUGGCCCGGUACUGACGCUGAGGUGCGAAAGCGUGGGGAGCAAACAGG
rnacentral:rRNA from 1 species